AUUAUUAUUAUUACGUGUCUUUGCUUUCUUUUCUUUUUAAGAGACUAAGUCGACUUUUUUUCCCCCCUAAUGCUGUCAGGCUGUUCGUUAUAUUCAUGUGGUGCCGGGCCUCCAGCCCACAUGUCAUAUGGGAAUGGUUUCCGUCUAGUUUGGCUGCAUAAAGGCGGCUCUAUAUGCUGGAGCCUAUUAAGGAUCGGUGGUGACGGAGCAACUGCAGUCUGCUGGGAGAGCGGCGCGGAUCAGUUUGCUCGGAGGGAAAAAAAAUAAGUCAUACAGAAUUUUGUUCGAAUUAGUUGUCAUUCGAACAAAAAUAACAUGUUCAUUAUUACUAUUCUAAUUACUAUUAUUAUUAGUAGUAGUAGUAAAAGUAGUAAUAGUAUUUAUUUAUUUAUUAGCUGGCACGAGAUAGCUGAUUUGAAUAAAUGCCAUCAAACACCUCUCCAGCACCAGUCCACCGCUGCUGGCGAACAAUCGCCAUGGGAUGUUUUUCUCGCGAGUCGAAGAGCAACGAAAGCCCGAUUAUUAAUCAAUAAAUAAUCAGCAGUAAUUAGCUUACAUUCACUGGAUAUUUUGAGGAAGAUUGUCUCGCCUCCCUAUGGGCAGGAUGAGGAGGAAGAGCGGUGGUGAUGGUGGAGAUUUUUCUUAUUGGCUUGAAGGAGGGAGGAGGGUGAAAAAUAUUUUUUUGCUUUUUUUUUUAUGUACCUGUUGCGCCGAUGGAGUACAGGGGUGAGCACCUUGUUAUUUUUUAAUAAUCUAUUUGUCAUGCUUCGGGUGAACAGGGAUCAUUAAAGGUGAACUUUUAAAGGCAAGUUACAAACGGAAGUUCAGAAGGACUGCUGGUGGUAGACAAUUAAAAAGUGAAAUUAGAUUAAUGUCAGCCAGGUCAAUUAUUAUUAUUAUUAUUAUUACUAAUAAUAAUAAUUAAUCAUAUUUAAUAUUAUUAUUAAAUGGCUGGCUUACCUUGAAAAGAAAAGAGAGAAUUUUGACUUUAUAUAUAUAUAUAUAUAUAUAUAUAUAUAUACACACACACACCUGAAUUACCUCCACAAACCGACCCGAUACAGCUGAGGCCUUUAAAUAUUUCCCGCACCUCAUUGACUUGGACAAAUGAUUCCUCACGCUGCAACACCUUUUCUUUUCUUUUUUUAAACAGGAGCAAUUAACAGCAAUUAGGCUACGCAAAAGAAAGUCUUGCUGUCCAACGCUAGCCAGCCUGGGGUAUUAUCUAUAGUUUUCCUGCAUCGUUUAAACGCCGAUAUUUUUUUAUUUUUUAUUUUUUAAAGGGAUUUGGGGGAGGCUGCGUAGGGAAAACCUCUUGUUUUGUCUCGCAGACUGGAAAGAGCUGCGCCGCUGGCUCCGGCCCAGGAAGAGAGGUGGAGAGGUGCGCUGCUUCUUCUGAGCAGGAUCCCCACUCGUUUUUAUUAAGCCCUUUAAUUGGACUAAACGGGAGCAGACCAAAUUCAUUAUCAGCUCAAAGGGGAUCACGAACAGAAGAAAAGCAACGUUGGGAUGCAAAUUUGUUUGACUUGCUGUCAGUGGCGCCACCAAGGGCCUGCAAGAUCAUCAGUGGCCCCCAUCGAUGCCCUUUGAUACACGCGUGGACGCCCCUGUGUGCCUUUAGUUUAAUCACCUUAUUUGGAGCUUAUGUGUCAGUAUGUUGUCACUGAGGGUAUUGUUGGCCCUUUAUGAGCACGUGUCAGCCUUUUACAUUGUAAACGACACGUUUACACCAAUCACUUUCAGUUCCUAAAUCACUUUGAUGAAGCAAAAGCAAAGAUUCUCCAAGCUGAACAGAACAACUUGGAAAGCCUUAAGGAUAAAAAAUAAGACUAAUGUAUUAUGUUGCACUCGGUGUUGUAGUUCUGUCCUCCAUAUUGGCUUAUAGUGUUUUCUGGGAUAUGUAUUAAAUAAAUCCAAGGAGUGGGCCAUUAAUAAAAUGAUUUCAGGAGUAUUAUCACGUAAUUAAGCUCUGAUUAAAAAUAAUAAAACAACAAGCUCCUACUCUUAAUUACAAGUAGGCUGAUUUGAUAUGUUAGAACAUGAUUUUUUGUUCCUUUUUUUUACUACUGACAUUUUUUUUUCAUUUUAAAAUAUGGUAGCUCUCAUAAGUUAGCGAGCAACAUAAAAAAAAAACCCACAGGGCAUUUAUCACAGACAAAUAAAAGCAGAUUAAGCUUAAUAAACAAAUGGAAUCAAAUUUCAAAGACUAUUGCCCCUUUGUGUUUUCUUUUCAGAAUCGUCACUGCUAGACAUCCGUACAUAAAAAAAAAAAAAAUAGCCAAGUAUGUAGAAAUAAAAAUAAAAAAAAAGAGAGUACUUUGUAGAACAAUUUGAGUAUAUUAAUACUAAUAAAUAACGCUUGUAUAGGCUGGUACUUUUUUUUUCUUAAUGCAUGAGAAAUAUUUAGCAUAAAUAAGAUUCCGGGCAGCGGGGUCAACGUGGUGGCGCCGCAGCCAUCACAGUUUUACAUCAAACCCCCGCAAUUCGAUGAUUAACUGAAAAAUAUUCACUUCAAAAUAUAACCCACUGUAAUCUUUUAUUUCUUCUUUUUUUGCGUGUAUUCUCUGAGGCGGGGUUCCGACACUGUGGACUGGUGUGGCGUGGACGGCCUGUGGUGGCUCUACCUCCCACUCCUACUCCCACACACACGCACACACACACACACACACACACACGCACGCACACGCAGAAACAGAGAAACAUAUGCACAAAGCCCGCUGAAACACAAGCUUUAUCCGCGAUGGAGAGGGGCUUUGGGUCUGUGGAUUAGACGUUGUGCGCAGAUAACAUCGGCGCAUAUCAGAAAUGUGAAAUGGAGCACCUCGCGGCGCGGCGCGCGGGGGGAACAUCAAAAAGCCGCAGCGGGCCUUUCUUGUGGGCGCGGUGAGUAUUGUAAAUUUGCGAACUGUAGUUCUGACCCACUUGAUGUAACGGGAGAGUAAACACACUUAGUACAGUUGGAAGGAGGCAGGCGCUUGGAGUGAAACUAUAACGCCAUCGGCCGCAGAAUGACCCACCUCUCGACGCCUCUUACAUGACAAAGAAGUGAUGUUCUUUUGUCAAAAAAUGAUCAAAAAGAA